rnacentral:misc_RNA from 1 species
CAAGUAAGACCGUCGAUGCACCCGUAAAACGGUGGGUAGACGGUUUACACUCACCCGUGUCUACAUACUCUUGUUGCUUUGGCGGGCCGUGGUCUCCACUGCGGGCUCUGCUCGUGUGUGCCCGCCAGAGAACCAAACUCUAAAUGUUAGUGAUGUCCGAGUACUAUAUAAUAGUUA